UGGGGAAUAUUGCACAAUGGGCGCAAGCCUGAUGCAGCCAUGCCGCGUGUGUGAAGAAGGCCUUCGGGUUGUAAAGCACUUUCAGCGGGGAGGCAGGCGAUAAGGUUAAUAACCUCAUCGAUUGACGUUACCCGCAGAAGAAGCACCGGCUAACUCCGUGCCAGCAGCCGCGGUAAUACGGAGGGUGCAAGCGUUAAUCGGAAUUACUGGGCGUAAAGCGCACGCAGGCGGUCUGUCAAGUCGGAUGUGAAAUCCCCGGGCUCAACCUGGGAACUGCAUUCGAAACGGGCAGGCUAGAGUCUUGUAGAGGGGGGUAGAAUUCCAGGUGUAGCGGUGAAGUGCGUAGAGAUCUGGAGGAAUACCGGUGGCGAAGGCGGCCCCCUGGACAAAGACUGACGCUCAGGUGCGAAAGCGUGGGGAGCAAACAGG
rnacentral:rRNA from 1 species